rnacentral:rRNA from 1 species
AUUGAACGCUGGCGGAAUGCUUUACACAUGCAAGUCGAACGGCAGCACGGGUGCUUGCACCUGGUGGCGAGUGGCGAACGGGUGAGUAAUACAUCGGAACGUACCCCGUCGUGGGGGAUAACGUAGCGAAAGUUACGCUAAUACCGCCUACGUCCUGAGGGCGAAAGCGGGGGACCGUAAUGCUUCGAGCGCUUAGAGCGGCCGAUGGCGGAGUAGCUAAUUGGUGGGGUAAAGGCCUACCAAGGCGACGAUCCGUAGCGGGUCUGAGAGGACGGCCCGCCACACUGGAACAGAGACACGGUCCAGACUCCUACGGGAGGCAGCGGUGGGGAAUUUUGGACAAUGGGCGAAAGCCUGAUCCAGCCAUUCCGCGUGAGUGAAGAAGGCCUUCGGGUUGUAAAGCUCUUUCGGCAGGGAAGAAACGGCUUGGGAUAAUACCCCGGGCUAAUGACGGUACCUGAAGAAGAAGCACCGGCUAACUACGUGCCAGCCGCCGCCGUAA